rnacentral:lncRNA from 1 species
CGAUAUACUUUGAUGAUAUCAAAUGAAAUUGAAUCUGACUAAGUGUGCAUUCAAGGUAACUUUCGAAAAGUUUCUCGAAUUUUUCAUGUCACAAUGAGGAAUUGAAGCUAACCUCGAAAAAAUAAAAGUUAUCAUUAAUAUGAAGCAUUUAAGCUCUAAGAAAGAGAUACAACAACUCAAUGGAAGGAUCUCUACACUCAGUCGAUUCAUCUCA